CAAACACCGAAGAAGCUUAAUUAAUGCUUCCUAAUGGGAAUAAGUUUAACGUUCAUUGAAUCAGCUGAGGUGCUUUUCUAUGCAUGGUACAAAAGUUUCAGCUCCCAAGGUGAUGAAUUUUUUUGUAUAUGAUUAACGAACAAUUUAUUAAAAAUAAACGAAAAAUGUCAAUAUUUAAAUAUUUAUAUUUCCAAGACUUACUUUUUUUCUUUUCUUUUUUGAUGCAUGACUAUAAAUAAUUGAACCUUUGAGAAAUUGACCUUGACAAAUUUGUCAUAUUUAUAUUUCCAAGACUUCUCUCUCUUUUUUUAAUAAAUGACCAUUGCGGACAAAAUUGUCAAACAUAAAAAGAAAUUUGUCAUUUAUUUUUCCAAGAAUUCCCUCUCACCAAAUCUCAUAAGGGAAACAAUUUUAAGUGAUUGAAUUUGUAUUGAAUGCCAUACCUAUUCAUCAUUGAUUUAGGUACCAAACAUGUGGCUUGAGAUUGCUUAUGUGAAAGUUAUGCAAAUAGUUUAACGGGAAGUAAUUAGGCCACAUGUUUGGUACCUAAAUCAAUGAAAUAAAAUAAUUACCCACACUGACAAGUUCAAAUGAUCAUAUAAACACAGGUUAAACAAUAAAUGCUUUUAAAGGGAAACAAUUUUAAGUGAUUGAACUUGUAUUGAACAGGUAGCCAUAUAUGUCUUGAAGCUACAUGCCUCUAAACCAAGUUGUUGAUUUAUUUUGUACGAAGAGGUACACUUUACUAUUAAUGCUUUAAAUAACUCAUAUACAUUUCAAGAAAUCCAAUUGAAAAGUUAUAAAUGCUACACAAAAGGCAAAUAACACAACCUAUUCAUGAUAAAAAUAACUCCCCAUCCCGCAAUUAGUUUAAAAAUAAUUUGAAGUUCGUUUCACGUGUAAAUAAUUACUUUUAGCUAACAUCGCUAUUGAUUAUAAAGCUUAAAUAAUUAGCAUUUCAUUUGUUGCUGCUGCUAUUGUUGUUUUUAUUAUUAGUCUAUUUAGUUAUAAUGAACUAGAAGUGUUUUCACAAUACUUGAUUUAAAUGUGGAUUUGCAUUGUGCUCUUAUAUUAUAAUUUGAUUCGAGUAGAUGAUAUAUUCAAAUCAAUUAACUUGUUGCAUUUUAGGGUGGUUGGAAGGUUUAAAUCCUACAUCUUUCAAAGAAAAUGACACCAUGGAUUAUGUAGCAAUAAGUUACUGGGCUUUUGUUUGCUUAGUGAUUAUGCAUCUCUAGAAUGGUUGACAUCGUGUGAUCAAUAUUGAAGGUGGCAUCCAUGCCAAUAUUGUAGGUAUAACCAUUUGUCCAUCGAUUAAUAAGUACUGAUCUCCCAAUAGAAGAAUGUGAAAUACACCUCCUUUUGUUUUCGCAGCGUAACAUAAAACUUUAGAGUGCCACUAUAUUAUCCAUAAGUUGUGCAAAUAAUUAUACAUGAAUAAUUGUCAAAAGAACGAGUUCUUGAGUCACCGAACUAAAUUACCUAAUAAACUAUUUGUUUAUGGUGAGCUUCGUUCGCUUAACCAAGGAUCCUGCACAGAAACAGCUUAACUAUCCUUUGUAUUGACCAUUGUGGGCUUGGAUGACACCUUCCAUCUACUUAAUUUCUUGAGUUUCUACCUGGUCCUCAAAUCACCCCGUCCUUCCUCAAUAAACGGUUCACAUUUUUCUAUAAAUACUACUCUUUCCCCCCUCUUUUUCUCAACACAAUACAAAGAAAUUAAGAGACAGAGAAUUUAAUUCUCUUAAUUUCUCUUUCACCAUUUCCUUAACCAAAAGCUCUCAAAACUUGUAAAUGGCUAUUUCCAAAGUCCUUCUUGCAUCAAUCUUUCUUUCUCUGCUUGUUUACCGUCAAGUCCAUGCAAUUUAAACCAAUCAAGCUGUAAGUGAUUUUCAUCUUAAAUUUUAACAUUUUUCGUUCAAAUUCUUAUUUUAUUUUAUUUAGGUGCAAAAUUCUAUUCAAUAAAAAUCAUAUGAUGUGAAAGAAAAUAAUAGGACAACGUAAUAUAGGUGCAAACAUUUCAAUGUACGAGGAGAAAGUGUACCGUAAAUUGAGCUCCACCUAAAUAAAAGAAGAAUUUGAAAGAAAAUUGUUAAAAUUUAAUAUGAAAAUCACUUACAGCUUGAUUGGUUUGAAUUGUUGGAUUUCAUGAAAAACAAGCAGAGAAAGAAAGACUGAUGCAAGAAGGAUUUUGGAAGUAACCAUUUACAAGUUUUGCGAGCUUUUGGUUAAGGAAAUGGUAAAAGAGAAAUGAAGGAAAUUAAAUUCUCUGUAUUGAGUUGAGAAAAAGAGGGGGAAGGUUAGUAUUUAUAGAAGAAUGUGAACCGUUUAUGGAAGAGGGACAGGGUGAUUCGAGGACCAAAUAAAAACUAAAGAAAUUAAGUAGAUGGAAGGUGUCAUCCAUGCCCACAAUGGACAAUACAAAGAAUAGUUCAGCUGUUUCUGUGCAGGAUACUUGAUUAAGUGAACGGAGCUUACCAUAAACGAACAGUUUAUUAGGUAAUUUAGUUCGGUGACUCAAGAACUCGUUCUUCUGAUAAUUAUUCAUGUAUAAUUAUAUGCACAGCUUGUGGAUACUAUAGUGUCACUAUAAAGUUUUAUGUUAUGACGUGAAUACAAAAGGAGGUGUAUUUCACAUUUUUCUGUUGAGAGGUUUGUACUUAUUAGCCGAUAGACAAAUGAUUAUACCUACAAUAUUUGCAUGGAUGCCACCUUUAAUAUUGAUCACAUGACGUCUAGAGAUGCAUAACAAUCGAGCAAACAAAAACCCAAUAACUUAUUGCUACAUACUCCACAGUGUCAUUUUCUUCAAAAGAUGUAGGAUUUUAACCUUCCAACCACCCUAAAAUUCAACCAAUUAAUUGAUUUGAAUAUAUCUACUUGAAUCAAAUUAUUAGAAAAUAGCACAAUGCAAAU
rnacentral:lncRNA from 1 species